CUCAGCGGCCAUAGGCUCGGGGCAACACCCGUUCCCAUACCGAACACGGAAGUUAAGCCCGGGCACGGCAACGACUGUACUGCCGUUCAGGCGGGAACUCGUGCUGCUGCUGAGC
rnacentral:rRNA from 1 species